rnacentral:rRNA from 1 species
UGGGGAAUAUUGCGCAAUGGGGGAAACCCUGACGCAGCAACGCCGCGUGAAGGAUGAAGGUUUUCGGAUUGUAAACUUCUUUGAUGAGGGACGAACACAAUGACGGUACCUCAAAAACAAGCCACGGCUAACUACGUGCCAGCAGCCGCGGUAAGACGGAGGAGGCAAGCAUUGUCCGGAAUUAUUGGGCGUAAAGAACACGUAGGCGGUUAAUCAAGUCAUAUGUGAAAACCUUGGGCUUAACUUAAGGAUUGCAUAUGAUACUGGUAAACUAGAGUAUAGUAGAGGAAAGCGGAAUUCCUGGUGUAGCGGUGAAAUGCGCAGAUAUCAGGAAGAACACCAGUGGCGAAAGCGGCUUUCUGGACUGUUACUGACGCUGAGGUGUGAAAGCUAGGGGAGCGAACAGG